CAGGCGGCCGCGGCGCGACCCCAGCCGGUGCCGGGACAGCCCCGCAGCCUGGGCCGCCGCUCCCCCUCCCCGGAGCCCGGAAUGGAUCCGUCCCGGAAAUAAAUAAAUAAACCCGCGGCUGCUCCGGGUGUGUGCUGCGCGCACCUGAGGCCGACCUGUGAUUCACCGCGGGAGGGAUGGCAGUGACAACGCUCCGGGGAAGUCCACAGUGACUCCUCCGCCAGGACGCCGCUGGUUGUAUAGGAAAAGCACGCGGACGGGAAGCCACACUCACCGAAAACCUCAGUAAACUAAAUUUAUGAGUUUACAUCUGUUCCAUCAAUGACCACGGUGCACACCUGUUUGGCUUCAUGGCCGGCAACUACAGAUCUAGGUAUCCAAGAUCAAGAGGGACAAUUACAUAUUAUAAGCCGCACAGAGAAGAGUAAUCAAGGUGGACAUGAACUUGUGCUAUAUAAGUUAUGGGUUGAAGAACUCUGUGGAAAGUAGAGAAGAAAAAAUUUAGGGAACAAGCAGUAGUUGAAUACAGCUAUGUGAAACUAUGAGAACUAUGUGAAAGAGUGUUUGGAUCCAAAGAUGAAAGAGCUGACACAAGAGUGGAUUUUCUGAGAGCUGUUUGAGCAGAGAAAACUUGAAGGAGAUACAGUGAGUAGAACACAACCUGUAGGUGGUUUGAAGACCUGAGGACUCCAAUACCUCCCAACUCUCAUAUUCUCUAUAGUUUUUCUAGAAAAGCCCAUGUAUUGGGGCAUAACCUAUAAAGAUGAUAGCAACUAAAAUGGAUAAAUCAAUGACAUAAAAUGUUUAUUUCUUCUCUUGAUUAAAUGACAGAUACCCCAAUCUGCAGGCAUCAUAUGUUAUGACUGCCUCCACUCUCUGCAUUUUGAGAAAGCCUCUACAGAAAUUCUCAAAGGAAUGGGUAAAGACAUGAGUAUUUUUAACUACAUAUACUUUAAAUUUAUUUUUUUUUUUUGCAUUUAAAAGGCUUGAGAGGAUUUGGGUUGUAUCCAAACUGAAAAAAUAAAAAUAGGUUAAGUACAUGAGGAACCAGAAUGAAUUAAUAUAGUGAGCGAAAGUGGAUUGUACAUUCCCACACUCAUGAAGAUAAGAGUACAGAUGACACUGAAGUGUGAGUUGUCUUCUAACCUGUUUGACUUGAUUUGGUUACAUAUGAUUCAGAAGGCAGAGCAGUCGGUAAACACAAGAAUUAAAAUUGUCAAAACUACUGACAUUUUCCUACAAAAUAAUUAUAUGGGCAGAAACUAUAGUUGCGACUGCAGUAAAAC
rnacentral:lncRNA from 1 species